CAGUAUUGGAGUUCUGAUAUCCAACAUAGCGAUGGUGAUGGAAAACUAUUUCAAUUUGGAGGCUCUAGGAAAGGUCAGGAGUCAUUCAGGGAAAAGUAUACAGGAGACAUCUGGGAUUUCUGCAAGGGAACUUAGUUUUUCUUUUUCCCAAGAUCUACACUAGAGGGCACCUGCUAAGCUGGAUAUCAGGCAUCAGUGAGGCCACUCCAGAAUUGGCAGCGACUUUGGACCAUCUGCUGACUACCUGCAACACAGCAGUUCUGAGCAUGUACUAGGUCACCUUGUAAAAGGAUUUGCUCCUCCUUCUUGCUCUCUCUCCCUGUCUCUCUCUCUCUCCCUGUCUCUCUCUCCCUCUCUCUUUCUUUCCUGCCUUGCCAAGAGACAGUUGCUGUGACCCUGUCCCUCUUCCCUUAAUAAA